UUGAAAGGGAAACGAUUGAAGUCAGUCGUACCGACGAGAAAUCAACUUAUCGUGUGCGAACUUGUGGGCGUGCGUGAGUUUCGGCCUCGCUGGUUUGCAUGUUUGUGCGCUUUGGGUGUACUUUUUCGUAUGGNAGGCCAACCUCAGUUUCGAUUAUCAUAAAAUGACCGGCGGAAUGUAGCUUCGAUUUCCGUUGAAGUGUUCUAGCCUCUGGUAGAUGNGGUGAUUGGGACUGAAGAUUGCAACAAAUAUCCUUUGGGCUAUCCNUCUGAUCUCUGAAAGUUGCUUAGGUGCCGAAAGCGUGCUUACGGUCAUCUAAGAUAACGUUCAACAGGCUAGAACGUGUUUACAUUCGUUAAGGAUGUUGACGUA
rnacentral:rRNA from 1 species